UACGUAGGGUGCGAGCGUUGUCCGGAAUUAUUGGGCGUAAAGAGCUCGUAGGCGGUGUGUUACGUCGGCCGUGAAAACCUGCAGCUUAACUGUGGGCGUGCGGUCGAUACGGGCAUCACUGGAGUUCGGCAGGGGAGACCGGAAUUCCUGGUGUAGCGGUGAAAUGCGCAGAUAUCAGGAGGAACACCGGUGGCGAAGGCGGGUCUCUGGGCCGAUACUGACGCUGAGGAGCGAAAGCGUGGGGAGCAAACAGG
rnacentral:rRNA from 1 species